AGUGAACGCUGGCGGCAGGCCUAACACAUGCAAGUCGAACGGCAGCACAGGGGUAGCAAUACCCUGGGUGGCGAGUGGCGGACGGGUGAGGAAUACGUCGGAAUCUGCCUAUUUUGUGGGGGAUAACGUAGGGAAACUUACGCUAAUACCGCAUACGACCUACGGGUGAAAGCGGAGGACCUUCGGGCUUCGCGCAGAUAGAUGAGCCGACGUCGGAUUAGCUAGUUGGCGGGGUAAAGGCCACCAAGGCGACGAUCCGUAGCUGGUCUGAGAGGAUGAUCAGCCACACUGGAACUGAGACACGGUCCAGACUCCUACGGGAGGCAGCAGUGGGGAA
rnacentral:rRNA from 1 species